AAAAACCCGACUUCAUACCUUUCGCCGUCAAGCAACUCUUCGUUCUACUUCUUUCACCGUCCGCCGUGCGCCGUCCGCCGUCACAACAGCAUAGAGUGAGAAAUGGCUUGCCUGCAAUAUGGUAGGAAUACUCUCCGGCAACAGCUGAAGAAUGUGAAAACCCCAGCUGCUAUCUUCCAGAAUUGCGAAGGUGGAGAAGUACAUUUACACCAUCCACUAUUUUACGCCGCCCAAGGUGUUCGAUACAGAAAACUACAAGUCAUUCUCACUACUGGCAUAGAUAAGCUUGGAAAAGCAGGGGAAACUGUGAGAGUUGCACCUGGGUAUUUUCGAAACCAUCUUAUGCCCAAAUUGCUGGCUGUACCCAAUAUUGACAAGUACAGGCAUCUCAUGGAAGAUCAACGAAAGAUUUACCAACGUGAGGAAGUUGAAGAGGUUAAAAUAGUUCCAGCAACCAAGGAAGAUAAGAUGAAAGAAUACCAGAUGGCAGCAAACCGCCUGGAUAGAACUAUGCUGGUGCUAAGAAAGCUCGCGAAGAAACCAUUGGCGAAAGAUGACAAUGGUAGGACUUUUAUUCAGGAAUCUAUUGGAAAAGAUGAAAUUGUGGCUGAGGUGGCGAGACAGAUCUCUGUUCAUAUUGAACCUGAACAUUUAGUUCUGGAUACACCUUUGCACGUGAUGGGUGAGUUUGAAGUCCCACUGAGGAUGCCGAGGUCCAUUCCAUUGCCAGAAGGUAAAGUCCAAUGGGUUCUGCAAGUCAAAAUUAGGGGCAAAUGAAGAGAACACUUCUAGAUCAACCAUAAUACAGAGUAGUAGUGACAUAAAUUAAAUGAUCACUUGUUUCAAAUAUGACGAUGGCCUAAAUUUAUCGUUCUUCUGUAGUUUUAGCAUUUCUGAUUCUCGUCUUUUGGCAGAAAAGAAGCAUUUUAUCCAGCUGUUUAGAUUAUGGGAUUGACCUGCUCGAAAAUUUUGGUGGAUGAUGACUGAUUUGGGACUGUUUGCCCUUUUUUUCCGUGUAUCUAUUCUCUGCAGGCCACAACUUUGAUCAGUAUAAUUGUAGCUCAUAUGUGGAUUAAUUGGGAAUGUUGCAAUUUUG
rnacentral:misc_RNA from 1 species